CCCGCUCCCUCAGUUUGAGCUAAACAAAGUGGUGGAGAAAAGAAAAAGGAGAGUCGGUCUCAGAGGUCUUCCCCAUUUCUGUCUCUCUUAGACAAAAUCCAAUUUCUGAUCUGCGAGAUUCAAGCAGAGUAAUAAUGCUUGGGCGUGGAAAUGGAGGCAAGGGUUUGGGUAAGGAAGGAGCAAAACGACAUUGUAAGGUCUUCCGCGACAGCAUCCAGGGCAUCAAGCCGGCGACGGCUCGGUUCUCAAGGUCGGCGAGGAGAAGGAGAUCGGAAAGCAAGGCUUGAAGAAGCAACUUCUCAAGGAAGGUGAAAGCUGGGAUAUACCCCGAAGUGCGGUGAUGAGCUUGACUAUAUUCACACUUUUGGAUUGGGAUCGAUUGCGAUUAUGUUUGAAUUCAGUCCAUUACACCGGGAUUUUGCUUGGCGAUAGGGGGACAUCGAUCAGUUCACUCGGAAUUUUUGGCCUUUCACUUGUAUUAAUGACUUGAUUAAGUUGUGAGCUGAUUCAGAAGAACGGAAAGAGAUGAAGAAGAAAGCUCUGGAAUGGAAGAGGCUGGCAAUGGAACCAGGUUUUGAAGGUUAAUUACUUUCACUUCAAUUUCUUUUGGCUUUUAAAGGAGAACUGAAACUUUGUUAUCCCUUGUUUGAACUUGUUGAUUUAGUUAUAUUAUUCAGUAUCAAAUUGUUAUGCACCCAGUUACUAAAGUAUUUGGGUAACAAGACAUCACGGGAAUGGAGACGGGAGUGUUCAGGUGGUGACUUCCACCAAGGAGGUGCAUAUUGCGUGUAAAGAACUAUAGAUGCAGUUGAAAUGAGAUUGUUUCUGGUUAUCAGAAUGAGACCAAAGAGGCUAUUUUCGGUUACCAGAUGGAGUAUGAAAGGAACUGACUUGUGAGAAUAGUCUGGACUGUGAAGUAGAGUCUUUAAGUAUUUAGAUCCGGUUGUUUGUAUUGUGAAUGUUUCUGUAAUAUCUUCUCAUCCCAAGGGAUAAGUGCAAAUACUAUAGGCAUUCAAUAGUUUUUUGUUUGUAUA